GACGAACGCUGGCGGCGUGCUUAACACAUGCAAGUCGAACGGAAAGGCCCUGCUUUUGUGGGGUGCUCGAUUGGCGCACGGGUGAGUAACACGUGAGUAACCUGCCCUUGUCUUUCGGAUAACUUCAGGAAACUCGGGCUAUUACCGGAUAGGAUCUCCUGCUGCACGUGGGGGGUUGGAAAGUUUCGGCCGUUGGGGCUGGACUCGCUGCUUCUCGGCUUGUUGGUGGGGUAGUGGCUUACCAAGGGUUUGAAGGGUAGCCGGCCUGAGAGGGGGACCGGCGACAUUGGGACUGAGAGACGGCGCAGACUCCUACGGGAGGCAGCAGUGGGGAAUAUUGCACAAUGGGCGGAAGCCUGAGGCAGCAACGCCGCGUGCGGGAUGACGUCCUUCGGGUUGUAAACCGCUUUCGCCUGUGACGAAGCGUGAGUGACGGUAAUGGGUAAAGAAGCACCGGCUAACUACGUG
rnacentral:rRNA from 1 species